AGUGAACGCUGGCGGUAGGCCUAACACAUGCAAGUCGAACGGCAGCACAGUAAUAGCUUGCUCUUACGGGUGGCGAGUGGCGGACGGGUGAGGAAUACAUCGGAAUCUACUUUUUCGUGGGGGAUAACGUAGGGAAACUUACGCUAAUACCGCAUACGACCUACGGGUGAAAGCAGGGGAUCUUCGGACCUUGCGCGAUUGAAUGAGCCGAUGUCGGAUUAGCUAGUUGGCGGGGUAAAGGCCCACCAAGGCGACGAUCCGUAGCUGGUCUGAGAGGAUGAUCAGCCACACUGGAACUGAGACACGGUCCAGACUCCUACGGGAGGCAGCAGUGGGGAAUAUUGGACAAUGGGCGCAAGCCUGAUCCAGCCAUACCGCGUGGGUGAAGAAGGCCUUCGGGUUGUAAAGCACUUUUGUUGGGAAAGAAAAGCAGCAGGUUAAUACCCCGCUGUUCUGACGGUACCCAAAGAAUAAGCACCGGCUAACUUCGUG
rnacentral:rRNA from 1 species